UACGUAGGGUGCAAGCGUUAAUCGGAAUUACUGGGCGUAAAGCGCACGUAGGCGGCUUUGUAAGUUAGAGGUGAAAGCCCGGAGCUCAACUCCGGAAUUGCCUUUAAGACUGCAUCGCUUGAAUCCAGGAGAGGUGAGUGGAAUUCCGAGUGUAGAGGUGAAAUUCGUAGAUAUUCGGAAGAACACCAGUGGCGAAGGCGGCUCACUGGACUGGUAUUGACGCUGAGGUGCGAAAGCGUGGGGAGCAAACAGG
rnacentral:rRNA from 1 species